UCGAUGUGAAUAAUCUGACUUUAUUCAGCAUGCUAAUAGUUUAAACUGGUAAUAAAUUAGUAUAUACAGUUAUCAAAAAUGUUGGGGGCUUUCCAAGAAAAGGGUUUCUGAAUGUGUACACUGAAUUAUCUGCAGAAUCCUCUGAUGUGGAGUUACUGAAGAAUGAAGUGUCUUUCUCUGUAAGUCAUCUUAGUGUUUAGAUUAGAAAGGUUUCGAUUACCAUUCCAGCUCCUGCACAUCAGUUGCUUUCGGGAAUGAAAUCAUGCCUGUGAUCACAUUCCUGAAUAUCACUCAUCACCAGUGCCACUGGCUUGUCUCCUGGGACGUUUGGACUUGGGCACCUUUUCUUCCUGCUCUUACGCUCACAGCAGAGGUGACAUUAAAG
rnacentral:lncRNA from 1 species